rnacentral:rRNA from 1 species
UAACCUGCUAAAUAGCCCGUACUGCUUUGGCAGUUCGCCGGCUUCUUAGAGGGACUAUCGGCUCAAGCCGAUGGAAGUUUGAGGCAAUAACAGGUCUGUGAUGCCCUUAGAUGUCCUGGGCCGCACGCGCGUUACACUGACAGAGCCAGCGAGUAUUUCCUUGGCCGGAAGGUCCGGGUAAUCUUGUUAAACUCUGUCGUACUGGGGAUAGAGCAUUGCAAUUAUUGCUCUUCAACGAGGAAUCCCUAGUAAGCGCAAGUCAUCAGCUUGCGUUGAUUACGUCCCUGCCCUUUGUACACACCGCCCGUCGCU